CAUUUAAGUUCUGGUGAUCAGUUAUUGCAUUUCGAGCGUUUACGGCGAUUUUGCUUCGUUAUGAGACGCCUCGGCUGGCUAGGGCUGUGCCGGCGGCAAUUGCUUUCAUCUCUAGCCGUAGGGUCGUCCAUUGAUCAACGAGUCUCGCUCGGAAAAGUUUCAUCGUUGCGCCAGACUUUUUCUUGUGCCCGAGCGUUUCAGGCAAGUUCUUCUGCCGUCGGGAAAGCUCCUGAUUUUGCCACAACAUUACCGGCGAAUAGACGUUUCAUACACGCCACUGGUUCAUGUCAAUCUAUUGAACGAGAUUACUACGAAAUUCUUGGUGUUCAAGACAAUGCCAGUCGAGAUGAAAUUAAAAAGGCGUAUCAUGCGUUGGCCAAAAGGUACCAUCCCGAUGCAAAUAAGAACAAUCCUUCUGCAAAGAGAAAAUUUCAGGAGAUUAGAGAAGCCUACGAGAUUCUGCAGGAUUCUGAGAAGAGGGCACAGUAUGACCAGGGGCGUGGUGGAGAACCUGAAAACGUAGAUUUUGGUACUGGUGACGCAGAGGGGUUUAGCUAUGCUUAUCGAACCCAUUUUUCUGAUUCAUUUCAAAAGAUUUUCUCUGAGAUCUUUGAACAUGAAACCAACCGUUUUGCCUCAGAUAUUCAGGUGGACCUACCAUUAUCUUUUACCGAAGCUGCAAAAGGAUGCACAAAGCAUUUAUCCUUUGAUGCUUUUGUUCCCUGUGAUUCUUGCUAUGGGCGGGGCUAUCCAGUAAAUGCAACAAAAAUAAGUUGCCCUACUUGCAGAGGUUUAGGUAGAGUUACGAUUCCUCCAUUUACAUCGACAUGCACCACUUGCAAAGGAUCGCGUCAAAUCAUUAAGGAAUUAUGUGUACAAUGCAGGGGAUUGGGGGUUGUGGAGGGUGUUAAGGAGGUCACGGUUACCAUACCUGCUGGGGUUGAUGCUGGAGAUACCAUUCGUGUGCCAGAAGCUGGUAAUAGUGGUGGACGAGAAAGUCAACCUGGCAACUUAAUCAUUAAAUUGAAGGUUGCUGAAGAUUGUGUCUUUAAGAGGGAUGGUGUGGAUAUUUAUGUGGAUUCUAAUAUCAGCUUUACUCAAGCUCUUCUUGGUGGCAAGGUCGAGGUUCCUACAUUGUCAGGCAAGAUACAAAUAAAUAUACCAAACGGGGUUCAGCCAGGACAAUCUGUAAUACUCAGAGGGAAAGGAUUGCCAAAACAUGGACUUUUUGUUGAUCGUGGGGAUCAAUACGUGCAAUUCCGUAUUAAAUUUCCAACUGAAAUAAAUCAGCGACAGCGUGCCAUUUUAGAAGAGUUUGCCGAAGAAGAGAUAAAGAAUGGGAUUGACAACUCAAAUGAAGGAAGUUGGUGGCAACCAAUUCUUAACCGUGUUGGGGAACCUAAGUUUAUCCUUGAAUUUGCCCUAUUGAUAUUAGUCCUAUUGCUCCUGAAUAAAACAAUGGGCUGAACGAGGUCCUGCAGUUCCGGUGGGGCAGAUAUUUUGGCAAGUUACCAUUGAAGUGGGAUGUCCACCUGUUCAUUCAUCGAAGAUAUGUAGAUACAAGGUCAAUUUUUCAGUACCUGAGUUGCAGUUUCAAAUUCAUAAAGGUUACCCGUCUUACAUUCACUCACCAAAUUUAUAUAGAUAUUACAAUGAGUACAAACAAGAUCUCUGGAAGAGCAAGUUCUUUCUUUUCCCCUCCGUUCCUUCCACCUCAAGCUUUCCUGUAGGUUUGAUCCAGAUAACUACCCGAAUCACUUUCAGCACGGUACACAUUUUGAUCGUCUCGUCGGCUCAGUCUUUUGCUAUGAAUUUUACAAUAGCCCCACAAAUAAAAAUUCUUUGGUAGAUUUUAUUUUAUACUGAUGAUUAGGUAAUGACGAAUGUUAUAUUCACAAUGCAUGGUCUCAUAUGUGGAAGGGUUUUACCUAUUCAAAACAAAGAUUUAUGAUUUAUGAGUAACAAAGAACAGAGAUUUAUGGUUCCA